AGAGUUUGAUCAUGGCUCAGAUUGAACGCUGGCGGCAUGGCUAAAACAUGCAAGUCGAACGCGAAAGGGGCUUCGGCCCCGAGUAGAGUGGCGAAAGGGUGAGUAAUGCGUUCCUACGUGCCUCGAGGUCAGGGAUAGCCAGGGGAAACUCUGGGUAAUACCUGAUGUGGUCUCCGGAUCAAAGAUUUAUCGCCUCGAGAGCGGGGAACGUCCUAUCAGGUUGUUGGUGAGGUAACGGCUCACCAAGCCGAAGACGGGUAGCGGGUGUGAGAGCAUGGCCCGCCACAUCGGGACCGAGACACUGCCCGGACUCCUACGGGAGGCUGCAGUAACGAAUCUUCCGCAAUGCGCGAAAGCGUGACGGAGCAAUGCCGCGUGCAGGAUGAAGCCCCUCGGGGUGUAAACUGCUGUCAGGGUUUAGGAACACAAUGACCAGACCCAAAGGAAGAGACGACUAACUCUGUGCCAGCAGUCGCGGUAAUACAGAGGUCUCGAGCGUUAAUCGGAAUCACUGGGCUUAAAGCGUACGUAGGCGGAGAUGCAGGCGUCAUGUGAAAUCCCUCGGCUCAACCGAGGAACUGCAUGGCGAACCGCACCUCUUGAGACAAGUAGGGGCUGUCGGAACGAUAGGUGGAGUGGUGAAAUGCGUUGAUAUCUAUCGGAACGCCAAAGGUGAAGACAGGCAGCUGGGCUUGUUCUGACGCUGAGGUACGAAAGCGUGGGGAGCGAACGGGAUUAGAUACCCCGGUAGUCCACGCCGUAAACGAUGUGCACUAGAUCGAGGAGGUUCUGACACCAUUCUCGGUCGA
rnacentral:rRNA from 1 species